CCUACGGGUGGCAGCAGUGGGGGAUAUUGCACAAUGGGGGGAACCCUGAUGCAGCGACGCCGCGUGGGUGAAGAAGCGCCUCGGCGCGUAAAGCCCUGUCAGCAGGGAAGAAAAUGACGGUACCUGAAGAAGAAGCCCCGGCUAACUCCGGCCCAGCAGCCGCGGCAAUACGUAGGGGGAAAGCGUAAUCGGGAUUAACUGGGUGUAAAGGGGGCGCAGGCGGGGACGAAAGCCAGGAGUGAAAGCCAGGGGCCCAACCCCGGGCCGGCCCAUGAAACUGCGUGGGGGGAGUGCAGGAGGGGCAGGCGGAAUUCCUGGUGUAGCAGGGAAAUGCGUAGAUAUCAGGAGGAACACCGGUGGCGAAGGCGGCCUGCUGGACUGCAACUGACGUUGAGGCCCGAAGGCGUGGGGAGCAAACGGGAUUAGAUACCCCGGUAGUC
rnacentral:rRNA from 1 species